CCUACGGGAGACAGCAGUGAGGAAUAUUGGUCAAUGGACGAGAGUCUGAACCAGCCAAGUAGCGUGAAGGAUGACUGCCCUAUGGGUUGUAAACUUCUUUUAUAUGGGAAUAAAAUGUUCCACGUGUGGGAUUUUGUAUGUACCAUAUGAAUAAGGAUCGGCUAACUCCGUGCCAGCAGCCGCGGUAAUACGGAGGAUCCGAGCGUUAUCCGGAUUUAUUGGGUUUAAAGGGAGCGUAGGUGGAUUGUUAAGUCAGUUGUGAAAGUUUGCGGCUCAACCGUAAAAUUGCAGUUGAAACUGGCAGUCUUGAGUACAGUAGAGGUGGGCGGAAUUCGUGGUGUAGCGGUGAAAUGCUUAGAUAUCACGAAGAACUCCGAUUGCGAAGGCAGUUCACUGGACUGCAACUGACACUGAGGCUCGAAAGUGUGGGUAUCAAACAGGAUUAGAAACCCUUGUAGUC
rnacentral:rRNA from 1 species